rnacentral:lncRNA from 1 species
CAAAAAUAGUCUAGGUGUAUCAACAGAUAUUAAUUUAUCAACUACUUGAAGAUGGGGUAAACGACAAGAGCAAUGGAAUUACCAUAAAUCACUUAAUUUUAUUGGUCUUUAAAAAUGAAAGAAAUGUCAGCUUAAAUCUGAAUUUUAUAAAUGUAAUGGCAGUCACAAAUAGAAUUAAGAGCAGGACUUCAACUUCCUAAAUCUUACAAAUAAUAAGUACAAAUAAAAUAUUACAUAAACUAGAAAGAACCCAAAAAAGAAAAUAAGACUAAGAAAACAAAAUUAAAUAAUAAAAUUUCCAGUAACACAAAAAUAUAAAUUAAACAAUGAAGCAACUCUACUUGGCAUAUCUUCUGUUUAAAAUCAAAUCCUAUUUCAUGUUGUUUUUUGAAAAACUGGCCUCAAACCCGGGUGUGGUGGCUCACACCUAUAAUCCCAGCCCUUUGGGAGGCCGAGGAGAGUGUAUCACUUGAUGUCGGGAGUUCGAGACCAGCCUGGUCAACAUGGUGAAACCCCAUCUCUACUAAAAAUAUAAAAAUCAGCCAGGUGUGGUGGCAGUCGCCUGUAAUCCCAGCUACUCAGAAGGCUAAAGCAAGAGAAUCACUUGAAACCUGGAGGAGAAGGCUGCAGUGAGCUAAGAUUGUGGCACUGCACUCCAGCCUGGGCGACAGAGCUGGGCGACAGAGCUAGGCUCCAUCUAAAAAAAAAAAAAAGAAAGCCUCAAACAAUAUAAUCCAGAUUGUGAAGAAGAAAAACAAAAAGUUUACCCCACAAACACAAUGCAUUAAUUAAUCAAAAUUAAUCAAGCUAGCAAGCUGCGAUGUUAAUAUGCAAAAACAGUUAAGACAAAUUGCAUUAAGUAAGGACAUGUUUAAAAUAAUAAAGGUGAAAAGUAUAUAAGAAUGCAAACUCCGUAAAGGCAGGUAUCCACAUCGGUUUUGUUCACUGACUAUCUUAAGUACCUAGAAGAAUUAUAGCCCAAAUAAAGUUCUUGUGAUAGCUGCUGUGGUGCACACCCCAGAUCCCAGAACCCCACCUCAGAAUGAAGUCCUCAUCCCCACAGCUGCUGGCAGUGUUGGCAGUGCAGCAUAUUUCCUCUUAGGACUAGCCCUCAGCUUAACAAAGACACUUAGCUCAAGGCCAUGCCUCCCUUCCUGUGCAUGACAGACCAAUUGAGGCGAGGAUAUAAAGGUAAUACAACUUCACCCCAAUUCCGGAUAGCUCUGAAAGGCCAUUACAGCUCCAGAGCUCCAUGUAAGAUCAGUCGAGGCUGUUGUAACUGCAUCCCAGCCACAUUUCUCUCUGUUCAAUCUUGCUUCCUUCCUUCUUCAACAGGUACUGAACCUGAGAUGAAUCCUUAAUAACUUUCUGCACAAAAGUCUCCAUCACAGAGUCUCUUUCCCAGGUAUCCUAAUCCAAAACAGACCACAUCCCCUCGUGUCAUUCUGUGACUUCCCCAUCUUCUAGCUGCUUACCUGAGUGAUAAGAUCCAUACUCCAAACUUCAGCAUCACACAAUAUUCCCAUGUAAUAAAUCUGUACAUGUACUCCUAUACUUUGGGAGUUAAUGCUUUCAAAUUCUGGCUAUCAGAGUUUCUCCAGCUGACAAUUCACACUCAGUACCUUGCCAGAGGCAUCCCAUUUACAGUUAAAUAUAAGACUACCUA